AGGCUGCAACUCGCCUGCAUGAAGUCGGAAUCGCUAGUAAUCGCAGGUCAGCAUACUGCGGUGAAUACGUUCCCGGGCCUUGUACACACCGCCCGUCACACCACGAAAGUCUGCAACACCCGAAGCCGGUGAGGUAACCCGAAAGGGAGCUAGCCGUCGAAGGUGGGGCCGAUGAUUGGGGUGAAGUCGUAACAAGGUAGCCGUAUCGGAAGGUGCGGCUGGAUCACCUCCUUU
rnacentral:rRNA from 1 species